rnacentral:rRNA from 1 species
GGUUAAGCGACUAAGCGUACACGGUGGAUGCCCUGGCAGUCAGAGGCGAUGAAGGACGUGCUAAUCUGCGAUAAGCGUCGGUAAGGUGAUAUGAACCGUUAUAACCGGCGAUUUCCGAAUGGGGAAACCCAGUGUGAUUCGUCACACUAUCAUUAACUGAAUCCAUAGGUUAAUGAGGCGAACCGGGGGAACUGAAACAUCUAAGUACCCCGAGGAAAAGAAAUCAACCGAGAUUCCCCCAGUAGCGGCGAGCGAACGGGGAGCAGCCCAGAGCCUGAAUCAGUGUGUGUGUUAGUGGAAGCGUCUGGAAAGGCGCGCGAUACAGGGUGACAGCCCCGUACACAAAAAUGCACAUGCUGUGAGCUCGAUGAGUAGGGCGGGACACGUGGUAUCCUGUCUGAAUAUGGGGGGACCAUCCUCCAAGGCUAAAUACUCCUGACUGACCGAUAGUGAACCAGUACCGUGAGGGAAAGGCGAAAAGAACCCCGGCGAGGGGAGUGAAAAAGAACCUGAAACCGUGUACGUACAAGCAGUGGGAGCACGCUUCGGCGUGUGACUGCGUACCUUUUGUAUAAUGGGUCAGCGACUUAUAUUCUGUAGCAAGGUUAACCGAAUAGGGGAGCCGAAGGGAAACCGAGUCUUAACUGGGCGUUAAGUUGCAGGGUAUAGACCCGAAACCCGGUGAUCUAGCCAUGGGCAGGUUGAAGGUUGGGUAACACUAACUGGAGGACCGAACCGACUAAUGUUGAAAAAUUAGCGGAUGACUUGUGGCUGGGGGUGAAAGGCCAAUCAAACCGGGAGAUAGCUGGUUCUCCCCGAAAGCUAUUUAGGUAGCGCCUCGUGAACUCAUCUCCGGGGGUAGAGCACUGUUUCGGCAAGGGGGUCAUCCCGACUUACCAACCCGAUGCAAACUGCGAAUACCGGAGAAUGUUAUCACGGGAGACACACGGCGGGUGCUAACGUCCGUCGUGAAGAGGGAAACAACCCAGACCGCCAGCUAAGGUCCCAAAGUCAUGGUUAAGUGGGAAACGAUGUGGGAAGGCCCAGACAGCCAGGAUGUUGGCUUAGAAGCAGCCAUCAUUUAAAGAAAGCGUAAUAGCUCACUGGUCGAGUCGGCCUGCGCGGAAGAUGUAACGGGGCUAAACCAUGCACCGAAGCUGCGGCAGCGACACUAUGUGUUGUUGGGUAGGGGAGCGUUCUGUAAGCCUGUGAAGGUGUACUGUGAGGUAUGCUGGAGGUAUCAGAAGUGCGAAUGCUGACAUAAGUAACGAUAAAGCGGGUGAAAAGCCCGCUCGCCGGAAGACCAAGGGUUCCUGUCCAACGUUAAUCGGGGCAGGGUGAGUCGACCCCUAAGGCGAGGCCGAAAGGCGUAGUCGAUGGGAAACAGGUUAAUAUUCCUGUACUUGGUGUUACUGCGAAGGGGGGACGGAGAAGGCUAUGUUGGCCGGGCGACGGUUGUCCCGGUUUAAGCGUGUAGGCUGGUUUUCCAGGCAAAUCCGGAAAAUCAAGGCUGAGGCGUGAUGACGAGGCACUACGGUGCUGAAGCAACAAAUGCCCUGCUUCCAGGAAAAGCCUCUAAGCAUCAGGUAACAUCAAAUCGUACCCCAAACCGACACAGGUGGUCAGGUAGAGAAUACCAAGGCGCUUGAGAGAACUCGGGUGAAGGAACUAGGCAAAAUGGUGCCGUAACUUCGGGAGAAGGCACGCUGAUAUGUAGGUGAAGUCCCUCGCGGAUGGAGCUGAAAUCAGUCGAAGAUACCAGCUGGCUGCAACUGUUUAUUAAAAACACAGCACUGUGCAAACACGAAAGUGGACGUAUACGGUGUGACGCCUGCCCGGUGCCGGAAGGUUAAUUGAUGGGGUUAGCGCAAGCGAAGCUCUUGAUCGAAGCCCCGGUAAACGGCGGCCGUAACUAUAACGGUCCUAAGGUAGCGAAAUUCCUUGUCGGGUAAGUUCCGACCUGCACGAAUGGCGUAAUGAUGGCCAGGCUGUCUCCACCCGAGACUCAGUGAAAUUGAACUCGCUGUGAAGAUGCAGUGUACCCGCGGCAAGACGGAAAGACCCCGUGAACCUUUACUAUAGCUUGACACUGAACAUUGAGCCUUGAUGUGUAGGAUAGGUGGGAGGCUUUGAAGUGUGGACGCCAGUCUGCAUGGAGCCGACCUUGAAAUACCACCCUUUAAUGUUUGAUGUUCUAACGUUGACCCGUAAUCCGGGUUGCGGACAGUGUCUGGUGGGUAGUUUGACUGGGGCGGUCUCCUCCUAAAGAGUAACGGAGGAGCACGAAGGUUGGCUAAUCCUGGUCGGACAUCAGGAGGUUAGUGCAAUGGCAUAAGCCAGCUUGACUGCGAGCGUGACGGCGCGAGCAGGUGCGAAAGCAGGUCAUAGUGAUCCGGUGGUUCUGAAUGGAAGGGCCAUCGCUCAACGGAUAAAAGGUACUCCGGGGAUAACAGGCUGAUACCGCCCAAGAGUUCAUAUCGACGGCGGUGUUUGGCACCUCGAUGUCGGCUCAUCACAUCCUGGGGCUGAAGUAGGUCCCAAGGGUAUGGCUGUUCGCCAUUUAAAGUGGUACGCGAGCUGGGUUUAGAACGUCGUGAGACAGUUCGGUCCCUAUCUGCCGUGGGCGCUGGAGAACUGAGGGGGGCUGCUCCUAGUACGAGAGGACCGGAGUGGACGCAUCACUGGUGUUCGGGUUGUCAUGCCAAUGGCACUGCCCGGUAGCUAAAUGCGGAAGAGAUAAGUGCUGAAAGCAUCUAAGCACGAAACUUGCCCCGAGAUGAGUUCUCCCUGACCCUUUAAGGGUCCUGAAGGAACGUUGAAGACGACGACGUUGAUAGGCCGGGUGUGUAAGCGCAGCGAUGCGUUGAGCUAACCGGUACUAAUGAACCGUGAGGCUUAACCUU